rnacentral:rRNA from 1 species
UACGUAGGCAGCAAGCGUUGUUCGGAGUUACUGGGCGUAAAGGGUGCGUAGGCGGUUGUUUAAGUUUGGUGUGAAGUCUCCCGGCUCAACUGGGAGGGUGCGCCGAAUACUGAAUGACUAGAGUGCGGGAGAGGAGAGUGGAAUUCCUGGUGUAGCGGUGAAAUGCGUAGAUAUCAGGAGGAACACCGGUGGUGUAGACGGCUCUCUGGACCGUAACUGACGCUGAGGCACGAAAGCGUGGGUAGCAAACAGG